rnacentral:rRNA from 1 species
GAAUUUUGCGCAAUGGGCGAAAGCCUGACGCAGCAACGCCGCGUGCGGGAUGGAGGCCUUCGGGUUGUAAACCGCUUUCAGCAGGGACGAACACUGACGGUACCUGCAGAAGAAGCUCCGGCUAACUACGUGCCAGCAGCCGCGGUAAUACGUAGGGAGCGAGCGUUAUCCGGAGUCAUUGGGCGUAAAGCGCGCGUAGGCGGCUCGGGAAGCGGAACCUCUAACCUUGGGGCUCAACCUCAAGCCGGGUUCCGAACUCCCGGGCUCGAGUCAGGUAGGGGCAGGCGGAAUUCCCGGUGUAGCGGUGAAAUGCGCAGAUAUCGGGAGGAACACCGAUGGCGAAGGCAGCCUGCUGGGCCUUCGACUGACGCUGAGGUGCGAAAGCGUGGGGAGCGAACA